AAUUGCACGAAAACGAAUAUCAUGUCAUUCAAACAAUGUGAAAGUUAAUUUACAAUUUACAUCCUAGUAGUAGGGUUCCUUGGGUGACUGUUGUUUCCUCCGGCAGUGGCAGCAGCAGUGCUCGUGGUGGAAUUGGCGUUGGCGUUGGCGUUGAGAGCAUUCAUCCCUAGAGUAUUCUUGACCACCUCCGCCGCCCCUUGCGCCAUGUUAGCAGCGCCCACCGCCGCUCCCUUAGCCAUGUUGGCGGCGGUUUGUGCCGCGUCCUUAGCUUGUGUUAAACCCCUGGCUGCUGCACCACCGCCUUCUACUCGCCGUGCCGCCCGCUCCCCUCUGCUCAACCAGCAGCUCCAGCCGGCCAGUCACCGUCGAAGUUUCAAUCCUUCAAUUGCUUAUACUGAAAGAGCCAAGGAUUGAUUAAUGCGGAAUGGAUGCAAAACGUGUGCUGGGAAACAAUGACAUUGAUGAUGUCCGUUGGCUAUGUUCUUUAACCGACUCUGAACUUGAUCUGUUAGUUAGCUUAAAGAAUAUGGUAAAGAUGUGAGCUGAUAAAAUUGGCCAUGGAGCUUUGGCAAAGAAGUUCAACUUACAUAUGUUGUGGGCCUUCAGUGUCAUCUUUAUGGAACAUUUGAAAGGACAGCUUAUAGAUGUGCCAGUGGCUUCCAGUAACUUGUUCAAACAAAACGUCAGUGGUAGUUUUGCUAGAAUGACUGAUGAAGAUUUAUAUCCAUAUGUGUGUUCUAAUAGGAGGAAAAGAGUUUUUGGCAUGUAAUUAAGUAAGGUGCCGAAACCAGCAAGGUUGAGAGGGUGGACUCAUGUUUUACCAGUACAAAUCCUAGUCUUGUAAAACUCACUUCCUAGCAUACCUAUGUGCUCGCCCAUGGAUUUACCAGACCCAUCCGUUUCUUCCAAUUUUUGUUUUGGUUGUUUGCAAUUUCUUAUUCAUGCCUUUUGCUUUUUCAGGAUAAGCAUCCCUCCCAAAAGCAAAAAAACUAGCAACUGAAGUUUCAAAGAGACUUGUAGUACAAUCUCCUCACACUCUUUAACGUCCAUCACCAGUUUUGAGCUCAUUGUUCACGGGUUUCUUCUCCAUCUUGUAAGUGACUUACCUCCUUUAAGAAGCUCUAUUGAUUGAAGGAAAAGGAACGGAGCAAACUACAUGCUAUGUACUCCAUGUUUUAGCUUAGAUAUUUCUGCUUGAAAUCACAGUCGUGCCUGUAUAGGUUAUAUUCUUGUCCAAAAUUUUCAAACAAAGUGAUUUUUUUAGGGAACAAAGUAAGUGUCAGAAACAUUGUUCUCUGAUAAAUUCAGUUUAUUUACGCGAAUUUUUAUCGCUUGCUAUU